GGGGAUUUAGCUCAGUGGUAGAGCGCUUGCCUAGCAAGCGCAAAACCCUGGGUUCGGUCCCCAGCUCCA
rfam:Rattus norvegicus chromosome 12, whole genome shotgun sequence.